AGCGAACGCUGGCGGCAGGCCUAACACAUGCAAGUCGAACGAACCCUUCGGGGUUAGUGGCGGACGGGUGAGUAACACGUGGGAACGUGCCUUUAGGUUCGGAAUAACUCAGGGAAACUUGUGCUAAUACCGAAUGUGCCCUUCGGGGGAAAGAUUUAUCGCCUUUAGAGCGGCCCGCGUCUGAUUAGCUAGUUGGUGAGGUAACGGCUCACCAAGGCGACGAUCAGUAGCUGGUCUGAGUGGAUGACCAGCCACAUUGGGACUGAGACACGGCCCAAACUCCUACGGGAGGCAGCAGUGGGGAAUCUUGCGCAAUGGGCGAAAGCCUGACGCAGCCAUGCCGCGUGGAUGAUGAAGGUCUUAGGAUUGUAAAAUCCUUUCACCGGUGAAGAUAAUGACUGUAGCCGGAGAAGAAGCCCCGGCUAACUUCGUGCCAGCAGCCGCAGUAACAC
rnacentral:rRNA from 1 species